rnacentral:rRNA from 1 species
UACGUAGGGUGCAAGCGUUAUCCGGAAUUAUUGGGCGUAAAGAGCUCGUAGGCGGUUUGUCGCGUCUGCUGUGAAAACUGGAGGCUCAACCUCCAGCCUGCAGUGGGUACGGGCAAACUAGAGUGCGGUAGGGGGAGAUUGGAAUUCCUGGUGUAGCGGUGGAAUGCGCAGAUAUCAGGAGGAACACCGAUGGCGAAGGCAGAUCUCUGGGCCGUAACUGACGCUGAGGAGCGAAAGCGUGGGGAGCGAACAGG